GAGUUUGAUCCUGGCUCAGGACGAACGCUGGCGGCGCGCCUAACACAUGCAAGUCGAACGAGCGAGAGAGAGCUUGCUUUCUCGAGCGAGUGGCGAACGGGUGAGUAACGCGUGAGGAACCUGCCUCAAAGAGGGGGACAACAGUUGGAAACGACUGCUAAUACCGCAUAAGCCCACGGCUCGGCAUCGAGCAGAGGGAAAAGGAGCAAUCCGCUUUGAGAUGGCCUCGCGUCCGAUUAGCUAGUCGGUGAGGUAACGGCCCACCAAGGCGACGAUCGGUAGCCGGACUGAGAGGUUGAACGGCCACAUUGGGACUGAGACACGGCCCAGACUCCUACGGGAGGCAGCAGUGGGGAAUAUUGCACAAUGGGGGAAACCCUGAUGCAGCGACGCCGCGUGGAGGAAGAAGGUUUUCGGAUUGUAAACUCCUGUCGUUAGGGACGAUAAUGACGGUACCUAACAAGAAAGCACCGGCUAACUACGUGCCAGCCGCCGCGGUAAUUC
rnacentral:rRNA from 1 species